CCGUACUAGAUGGGGAGCUAGCGGCACCCUAUAACCUGCAAUCCGCUAUAGCAGGAUUGAAUUCCCAAUGGAGGUAUCUCUAUUGUGGGGUCUGCCCCAAGUAAGUGGCGUUGACGAUUGGGUCUUACGCAACGAAAACUCAUGAACCCCGUCAGAUCCGGAAGGAAGCAGCGGUAAGUGAAUCCUUUCGUGUGCCGUGAGGUCGCCUGGUCCGAGUUAACUGCUUGGGUAACGCCUGGAAUAGGAUAUCGAUAUUGGGUGUACGG
rnacentral:SRP_RNA from 1 species